UGGGGAAUAUUGCACAAUGGGGGAAACCCUGAUGCAGCGACGCAGCGUGCGGGAUGACGGCCUUCGGGUUGUAAACCGCUUUCAGCAGGGAAGAAGCCGUAAGGUGACGGUACCUGCAGAAGAAGUACCGGCUAACUACGUGCCAGCAGCCGCGGUAAUACGUAGGGUACGAGCGUUGUCCGGAAUUAUUGGGCGUAAAGAGCUCGUAGGUGGUUGGUCACGUCUGCUGUGGAAACGCAACGCUUAACGUUGCGCGUGCAGUGGGUACGGGCUGACUAGAGUGCAGUAGGGGAGUCUGGAAUUCCUGGUGUAGCGGUGAAAUGCGCAGAUAUCAGGAGGAACACCGGUGGCGAAGGCGGGACUCUGGGCUGUAACUGACACUGAGGAGCGAAAGCAUGGGGAGCGAACAGGAUUAGAUACCCUGGUAGUCCAUGCCGUAAACGUUGGGCACUAGGUGUGGGGGGCAUUCCACGUUCUCCGCGCCGUAGCUAACGCAUUAAGUGCCCCGCCUGGGGAGUACGGUCGCAAGGCUAA
rnacentral:rRNA from 1 species